rnacentral:tRNA from 1 species
GGGGAUGUAGCUCAAUGGUAGAGCACUUGCCUAGCAAGCACAAGGCCCUAGGUUCGUCCCCA